CCUGUCAAUGCUUGGCUCUAGGAGGACAAAAGCGGGGCAGGGCUGCACACUCACCUGCGGGGUGUCCUGAAACCCAUGCUUUAGAUUCCAGGACCCUUCAGAUAUUUAAGUACAUCUGAUUAACACCCUGGUGAAGAUGGGCAAAGAAAACAGUACCGACUGCUAUUCAGUGACUAUCUUGAGUGGGACAGAAAAACUAUAAAAAUAAUAACAGUCAUUUAUGCAGGCCCCUGCCUCUCAAAUGUUCAGUAUGGUAGGAAGACAGCCGAACUGAGACUCAGGUAACCUGGGUACUAGUCUCAAUUCUGCCACUGAUGGUAUAUAUGACAUCUGUCUUUUUGCCCCCCAAAUACUAUAAGGUAGGCAAUACAAAUAUUAUUAUCCACAUUUUACAUUUAUUGUAUUUACAUACAUUAAUCUCCUUUUGAAGAGACUGAGGUGAAUGUCCAGCUUCCCAAGUACAUGGGAAGAAAAGGGGAAGGCAUACCUCAUGUUGGGCAAGGGAAAAUGGAAGAGACAGAGACAUAGACACAAAGAGAUAGAGACUGUGGUAGGCGCUCACUUUGUUUUGUGUGUAUCUCUGAGUUUAUCUGUAUAUGAGAGUGUUUAUAUAUAUUUGUACCAAAUAUUACUUAGCUAGUAAUUUAAGUCUCCGGCUAGUAAGUUGCAUCCAGGGAGCCCUUGUAAGUAAAGCCAGCCUGGCAGUGCCACCCAAGGAAAUAGAAUGCUGGCCACAACAGAUACCCUGAAAUAUUUAAAACUGGAAACCACAGGGCUGGUUAUACAACCUGACAGCCCAUAGGGUGUGGGGGAUACCAAACCUCUCAGGGCCUAAGUUUCCUCAGCUGUAAAAACAGGUAAAUAAAUAAAAAAUAAGGGGAUUCUAGUAGGUGAUCUGGAAGAUUGUCUAGCUUGUGAUCUAUAAUCGAUGAACUGCAGUGUAGAGCAAUACUAGUCAACUUACCUAUCAUUCGUUGAGUCAAGAGAUACCUUCCCCAUUGACACAGUACUGUCUGAAAUCCCCCUUCUCCCUUGCCAGAUGAAAACCCUAUCCUUACUCAUUUUCAUUUUUCCUGGACAAAUUGAGAUGCUUGUACUUUAUCCUCUUCUCCAAAUACUUACACAUAUUUCCCAAACUGUGAAGGGAAAAUGAGGGAUGAACUUGGAAUGUGGAUUUAGACCCUUAAUGAAACAAAAGGGGUAUAAGAUUCCCGCAGAAGGCAAUGAGGCAUUUAUUUAUAUUUAUUAGUCUAUGGGAAAACAUACAUAUUUUGUACUUUUUCUGUAAGAAACUGGAAACAUUAGUAACCUGAGCUUCUAAAUGAUUCUCUUUCCUGAUACACUGCAGCAUGUCACCAUUCUGCUUUGGGGAAUGCAUACAACUCUGGUUUCAAGAAUGGGAAAGAGUUAAGAAGUGGGACUUAAUAGAGUUAGUACAUUGAAGGAUUAUUGCUUGGGAAAUAUAACAUUGGACACUAAGUAUGCCUCUGGUUUUAAGCUGCUGUGAAAGACCCAAUGUCAAGAAAUUAAAAAUUAUAGGUGUGUCAUGUUCUGCCCUGGUCACACCAAAACUGAAAUUCUAGUUGCCAUAUUUGAGGAUCAACACUGAGAAGCUGGAGGCCCAGGAGGGCAAUUGGGAAAAUAAAAGGCUUUGUGGUAAAAGGUUCAUGUUUAUGAGCCUUAAUUGAAGGAACUGUGGUUGUUUGGCUAAGAGAAGAAAAGACUUCAGGGGAACACGAUACCUAUGUUCAAGCAUAUGAAGUGCUGUCAUAGGAAAGAGAGAUUAGAUUUAUUCAAAUUAGUCCUAAGGGGAAAGAACAGAAGGAAUAUUCAGACAA